rnacentral:rRNA from 1 species
UACGGAGGGAGCUAGCGUUGUUCGGAAUUACUGGGCGUAAAGCGCACGUAGGCGGUUCUGUAAGUUAGGAGUGAAAUCCCCGGGCUCAACCUGGGAACUGCUCUUAAGACUGCGGAACUUGAGGACGAGAGAGGAAAGUGGAAUUCCUAGUGUAGAGGUGAAAUUCGUAGAUAUUAGGAAGAACACCAGUGGCGAAGGCGACUUUCUGGCUCGUAUCUGACGCUGAGGUGCGAAAGCGUGGGGAGCAAACAGG